rnacentral:lncRNA from 1 species
UCCCCAUUAGAACCAGCCUGAGCGACCGAGCAUCAUGAGUUCACCGGAUAAAUACAUUCACUAUAACAAUUUUAAUUUUUUAUUUAUUUUCAUAACUGUGAAUUCAAUCGCAUCCGCUUUGCUAGAAGGCCAGCCAGUUUUCUUGCUGUAUGGAAUUUGUAUUACUCAAGAGACAGAAUUACAAACAGUCCGACAUAUAUAGCUGCUCCAAAUACCUUGUCCCAGAUAGCUUAAUGCAUUCUAGGGCGAGCAUAGUUUACCAUGAAAUCACUCGCUAUGUUUUGUGAAUUAUCCGGAAAAACCUACGCGAUUUAGAUGGGUUGCUAUCGAGUUUUCAAGCCUUAACCUCCAUGAACAAUCGUUUAUACUGGUUAUUAAACAUCCGUCUCUAGUUUACCACCCACAGUGUAAUCUUUCCCAGUCCACCUAGGGUGUUCUUUGCUUAUGGCCCAAUCAACAUGGAUCACCCUGGUUCGCAGCACGUGGUCUGUCCUAGCCGGAAAUUGUCUCUCUCUCUCUCUUCCUCCCUCCCUCCCUC